UUGAUCCUGGCUCAGGACGAACGCUGGCGGCGUGCUUAACACAUGCAAGUCAAGGGGAAAGUCUCAGCUUGCUGAGAUGAGUAUACUGGCGGAUGGGUGAGUAACACGUAGGUAAUCUGCCCUUAGGACAGGGAUAAGAUUGCUAACGCGAUGCUAAUACCUGAUGAAGCAACUGUUGAAUCAGAUGGUUGUUAAAGGCUGGCUUUCAGCUAGCGCCUGAGGAUGAGCCUGCGUCUCAUUAGCUAGUUGGUAGGGUAAUGGCCUACCAAGGCGACGAUGGGUAGCCGGCCUGAGAGGGUGAGCGGCCACACUGGGACUGAGAUACGGCCCAGACUCCUACGGGAGGCAGCAGUGAGGAAUAUUGCGCAAUGGCCGAAAGGUUGACGCAGCGACGCCGCGUGAGGGAUGAAGCUUUUAGGAGUGUAAACCUCUGUUAGGAGGGAAGAAUAAUGGCAAUUCGAACAGGGUUGUCAGAUGACGGUACCUCCAGAGGAAGCCCCGGCUAACUCCGUGCCAGCAGCCGCGGUAAUACGGGGGGGGCUAGCGUUGUCCGGAAUUACUGGGCGUAAAGGGCGCGUAGGCGGGAUAGCAAGUCAGUGGUGCAAACUUGAGGCUUAACUUCAAGCUUGCCAUUGAUACUGUUAUUCUUGAGUUCGGCAGAGGGAAGUGGAAUUCCUGGUGUAGCGGUGAAAUGCGUAGAUAUCAGGAAGAACACCGGUGGCGAAGGCGGCUUCCUGGUCCGAUACUGACGCUGAGGCGUGAAAGCGUGGGGAGCGAACCAGGAUUAGAUACCCUGGUAGUCCACGCUGUAAACGAUGGGUACUAGG
rnacentral:rRNA from 1 species